CUGUAUUCACCCUCUCAAAUGUCAAAAUCAUGCCACACAAAUUUACUAAUACAAUCAAAAAUAAACAAAAAAAGUGCUAUACACUUACGUCCCUCUCAAAUUAGGGAGUGGGGCCUGCGACUAUUUUAAUUGCGGCCCGACCCCUUAAUGUGAGAGGGCUGUCAUAGUUGCUGUCAAAGCAACUAUACCUGUAUCAAGCUUGAAAUAAAUAUAUAGUAACUUGUAGGUUCUUCCAAAAAAAGCCCUUACUGCUAUCCUAUAAUUUAACAUAAUAAUGUUGAACGGAUGAUUCAUUUUCUUAACCACAAUAUUACUAAUAAAACAAAAAAAUCGAAAGAAAUCGUUUAACGCACUAAACAAAAUUCAAUUUUACGCAUAGCAAAAACAAAAAUAUAAAUUUUGGAUGGUGAUGCUACCAAAAGCCGUGUUUGUGGGUUUCUCGUGGAUGAGGACUAAGAAAGAGUAUGAACAAGUCCUUUUGGUAUCUGAAACAAAGGCAACGAGAUGUGUCCUCGUCGCCCCUCCGAUACUUAAGUCAUAGAUAAAAUUUAGACGAAAAUAUAUAU
rnacentral:lncRNA from 1 species